rnacentral:rRNA from 1 species
UGGGGAAUAUUGCACAAUGGGCGCAAGCCUGAUGCAGCGACGCCGCGUGGGGGAUGACGGCCUUCGUGUUGUAAACUCCUUUCGCUAGGGACGAAGCUUUUUGUGACGGUACCUAGAUAAGAAGCACCGGCUAACUACGUGCCAGCAGCCGCGGUAAUACGUAGGGUGCGAGCGUUGUCCGGAAUUACUGGGCGUAAAGGGCUCGUAGGUGGUUUGUCGCGUCGUCUGUGAAAUUCCGGGGCUUAACUCCGGGCGUGCAGGCGAUACGGGCAUAACUUGAGUACUGUAGGGGUAACUGGAAUUCCUGGUGUAGCGGUGAAAUGCGCAGAUAUCAGGAGGAACACCGAUGGCGAAGGCAGGUUACUGGGCAGUUACUGACGCUGAGGAGCGAAAGCAUGGGUAGCGAACAGG